rnacentral:rRNA from 1 species
UGGGGAAUUGUUCGCAAUGGGCGCAAGCCUGACGACGCAACGCCGCGUGGAGGAUGAAGACCUUCGGGUCGUAAACUCCUUUCGAUCGAGACGAAUGGUCCUCGGGACAAUACCCUGGGGAAGUGACGGUACCGAGAGAAGAAGCCCCGGCUAACUCCGUGCCAGCAGCCGCGGUAAUACGGGGGGGGCAAGCGUUGUUCGGAAUUACUGGGCGUAAAGGGCUCGUAGGUGGCCAACUAAGUCAGACGUGAAAUCCCUCGGCUUAACCGGGGAACUGCGUCUGAUACUGGAUGGCUUGAGUUCGGGAGAGGGAUGCGGAAUUCCAGGUGUAGCGGUGAAAUGCGUAGAUAUCUGGAGGAACACCGGUGGCGAAGGCGGCAUCCUGGACCGAGACUGACACUGAGGAGCGAAAGCCAGGGGAGCAAACGG